rnacentral:rRNA from 1 species
AAAACAAGCUUUUAAGAGCAGAUGGCGGAUGCCUUGCCAAAGAGAGGCGAUGAAGGACGUACUAGACUGCGAUAAGCUAUGCGGAGCUGUCAAGGAGCUUUGAUGCGUAGAUGUCCGAAUGGGGCAACCCAACUAAUAGAGAUAUUAGUUACUCUUUAAUAGAGAGCGAACCUAGUGAAGUGAAACAUCUCAGUAACUAGAGGAAAAGAAAUCAACGAGAUUCCCUAAGUAGUGGCGAGCGAACGGGGAAAAGGGCAAACCGAGUGCUUGCAUUCGGGGUUGAGGACUGCAACAUCCAAGAGAACGCUUUAGCAGAGUUACCUGGAAAGGUAAGCCAUAGAAAGUGAUAGCCUUGUAUGCGACAAGGCGUUUUUAGGUAGCAGUAUCCAGAGUAGGCCAGGACACGAGAAAUCCAGGUUGAAGCCGGGGAGACCACUCUCCAACCCUAAAUACUACUCUUUGAGCGAUAGCGAACAAGUACCGUGAGGGAAAGGUGAAAAGAACCGCAGUGAGCGGAGUGAAAUAGAACCUGAAACCAUCUGCUUACAAUCAUUCAGAGCCCUAUGAUUUAUCAGGGUGAUGGACUGCCUUUUGCAUAAUGAUCCUGCGAGUUGUGGUAUCUGGCAAGGUUAAGCGAAUGCGAAGCCGUAGCGAAAGCGAGUCUUAAUAGGGCGAACAAGUCAGAUGCUGCAGACCCGAAGCUAAGUGAUCUAUCCAUGGCCAAGUUGAAACGCGUGUAAUAGCGCGUGGAGGACUGAACUCGUACCCAUUGAAACGGGUUGGGAUGAGCUGUGGAUAGGGGUGAAAGGCCAAACAAACUUAGUGAUAGCUGGUUCUCUUCGAAAUAUAUUUAGGUAUAGCCUCAAGUGAUAAUAAAAGGGGGUAGAGCGCUGAUUGGGCUAGGGCUGCUCGCCGCGGUACCAAACCCUAUCAAACUUCGAAUACCUUUUAUCGUAUCUUGGGAGUCAGGCGGUGGGUGAUAAAAUCAAUCGUCAAAAGGGGAACAACCCAGACUACCAAAUAAGGUCCCUAAGUUCUAUUCUGAGUGGAAAAAGAUGUGUGGCUACUCAAACAACCAGGAGGUUGGCUUAGAAGCAGCCAUCCUUUAAAGAAAGCGUAACAGCUCACUGGUCUAGUGGUCAUGCGCUGAAAAUAUAACGGGGCUAAGAUAGACACCGAAUUUGUAGAUUGUGUUUGACACAGUGGUAGAAGAGCGUUCAUACCAGCGUUGAAGGUAUACCGGUAAGGAGUGCUGGAGCGGUAUGAAGUGAGCAUGCAGGAAUGAGUAACGAUAAGAUAUAUGAGAAUUGUAUCCGCCGUAAAUCUAAGGUUUCCUACGCGAUGGUCGUCAUCGUAGGGUUAGUCGGGUCCUAAGCCGAGUCCGAAAGGGGUAGGUGAUGGCAAAUUGGUUAAUAUUCCAAUACCGACUCAUGGAGCGUGAUGGGGGGACGCAUAGGGUUAAGCGAGCUAGCUGAUGGAAGCGCUAGUCUAAGGGCGUAGAUUGGAGGGAAGGCAAAUCCACCUCUGUAUUUGAAACCCAAACAGGCUCUUUGAGUCCUUUUAGGACAAAGGGAGAAUCGCUGAUACCGUCGUGCCAAGAAAAGCCUCUAAGCAUAUCCAUAGUCGUCCGUACCGCAAACCGACACAGGUAGAUGAGAUGAGUAUUCUAAGGCGCGUGAAAGAACUCUGGUUAAGGAACUCUGCAAACUAGCACCGUAAGUUCGCGAUAAGGUGUGCCACAGCGAUGUGGUCUCAGCAAAGAGUCCCUCCCGACUGUUUACCAAAAACACAGCACUUUGCCAACUCGUAAGAGGAAGUAUAAGGUGUGACGCCUGCCCGGUGCUCGAAGGUUAAGAGGAUGCGUCAGUCGCAAGAUGAAGCGUUGAAUUGAAGCCCGAGUAAACGGCGGCCGUAACUAUAACGGUCCUAAGGUAGCGAAAUUCCUUGUCGGUUAAAUACCGACCUGCAUGAAUGGCGUAACGAGAUGGGAGCUGUCUCAACUAGAGAUUCAGUGAAAUUGUAGUGGAGGUGAAAAUUCCUCCUACCCGCGGCAAGACGGAAAGACCCCGUGGACCUUUACUACAACUUAGCACUGCUAAUGGGAAUAUCAUGCGCAGGAUAGGUGGGAGGCUUUGAAGUAAGGGCUUUGGCUCUUAUGGAGCCAUCCUUGAGAUACCACCCUUGAUGUUUCUGUUAGCUAACUGGCCUGUGUUAUCCACAGGCAGGACAAUGCUUGGUGGGUAGUUUGACUGGGGCGGUCGCCUCCUAAAAAGUAACGGAGGCUUGCAAAGGUUGGCUCAUUGCGGUUGGAAAUCGCAAGUUGAGUGUAAUGGCACAAGCCAGCCUGACUGUAAGACAUACAAGUCAAGCAGAGACGAAAGUCGGUCAUAGUGAUCCGGUGGUUCUGUGUGGAAGGGCCAUCGCUCAAAGGAUAAAAGGUACCCCGGGGAUAACAGGCUGAUCUCCCCCAAGAGCUCACAUCGACGGGGAGGUUUGGCACCUCGAUGUCGGCUCAUCGCAUCCUGGGGCUGGAGCAGGUCCCAAGGGUAUGGCUGUUCGCCAUUUAAAGCGGUACGCGAGCUGGGUUCAGAACGUCGUGAGACAGUUCGGUCCCUAUCUGCCGUGGGCGUAGGAAAGUUGAGGAGAGCUGUCCCUAGUACGAGAGGACCGGGAUGGACGUGUCACUGGUGCACCAGUUGUUCUGCCAAGAGCAUCGCUGGGUAGCUACACACGGAUGUGAUAACUGCUGAAAGCAUCUAAGCAGGAAGCCAACUCCAAGAUAAACUUUCCCUGAAGCUCGCACAAAGACUAUGUGCUUGAUAGGGUAGAUGUGUAAGUGCAGUAAUGCGUUUAGCUGACUACUACUAAUAGAGCGUUUGGCUUGUUUUU